UGGAGCUUGCUCUGAGGGGAUCAGUGGCGAACGGGUGAGUAACACGUGAGUAACCUGCCCCGGACUCUGGAAUAAGCGCUGGAAACGGCGUCUAAUACCGGAUACGAGACGCAACCGCAUGGUUAGUGUCUGGAAAGUUUUUCGGUCUGGGAUGGACUCGCGGCCUAUCAGCUUGUUGGUGAGGUAAUGGCUCACCAAGGCGACGACGGGUAGCCGGCCUGAGAGGGCGACCGGCCACACUGGGACUGAGACACGGCCCAGACUCCUACGGGAGGCAGCAGUGGGGAAUAUUGCACAAUGGGCGAAAGCCUGAUGCAGCGACGCCGCGUGAGGGAUGACGGCCUUCGGGUUGUAAACCUCUUUCAGCAGGGAAGAAGCGAAAGUGACGGUACCUGCAGAAGAAGCACCGGCUAACUACGUGCCAGCAGCCGCGGUAAUACGUAGGGUGCGAGCGUUGUCCGGAAUUAUUGGGCGUAAAGAGCUUGUAGGCGGUUUGUCGCGUCUGCUGUGAAAAUCCGGGGCUCAACCCCGGACUUGCAGUGGGUACGGGCAGACUAGAGUGUGGUAGGGGAGACUGGAAUUCCUGGUGUAGCGGUGAAAUGCGCAGAUAUCAGGAGGAACACCGAUGGCGAAGGCAGGUCUCUGGGCCACUACUGACGCUGAGAAGCGAAAGCAUGGGGAGCGAACAGGAUUAGAUACCCUGGUAGUCCAUGCCGUAAACGUUGGGCGCUAGGUGUGGG
rnacentral:rRNA from 1 species